AACGAACGCUGGCGGCAUGCCUAACACAUGCAAGUCGAACGAAGCCUUCGGGCUUAGUGGCGCACGGGUGCGUAACGCGUGGGAAUCUGCCCUUUGGUUCGGAAUAACAGUUGGAAACGACUGCUAAUACCGGAUGAUGACGAAAGUCCAAAGAUUUAUCGCCAGAGGAUGAGCCCGCGUAGGAUUAGCUAGUUGGGGUGGUAAAGGCGCACCAAGGCGACGAUCCUUAGCUGGUCUGAGAGGAUGAUCAGCCACACUGGGACUGAGACACGGCCCAGACUCCUACGGGAGGCAGCAGUGGGGAAUAUUGGACAAUGGGCGAAAGCCUGAUCCAGCAAUGCCGCGUGAGUGAUGAAGGCCCUAGGGUUGUAAAGCUCUUUUACCCGGGAUGAUAAUGACAGUACCGGGAGAAUAAGCCCCGGCUAACUCCGUGCCAGCAGCCGCCGCGG
rnacentral:rRNA from 1 species